UAUCCUUAAGGCUAGUCGAAAAUUGCUCAAAUCGCUGUCGAUAUUCCCUCACGGGGGUUUCUUGUUGCAAUCUCAUCAAUCUCGCGUGCUUAUCCCCCUGAUUAGUUGGCUUGAAUCUUGCCCACAGAAGCUGUCAAAAUUCCAUCCAACUACUAAUCUUCAUUCGAUCCUCUUUCCACUAAUACUAGUCCAACGCUUCUACUUCCAAACAAAGCACUGCCGCUUCUAGCUUAUCUCUCUCUGUCAAUCUAUUCACCACAAAAUAACGUUCCACGUGAUGCAACCAUUCAUCCACAUUUUCUUCUUCUUCUCCCUUAAAUAUUGGUACCUCUAAUUUCCAUAAUCUCAUGCCGAAGAGAGGUAUAUCACGCUGGUUUGGUGCGCACGGUACUCUGAUUCCUUCGUUCACAACUGGAAACCCUAACCACUCAAGUUCUCCGCCACCCAUCUCCGAUCGACGACCGUCGUGCACCAGCCACUACUUGUCGUCGGUACCAUCGUCUCUGUCAAGUCGUCGUGAAGCGCAAGUUGAUCCCUUUGUCACACGUCGUUCUUCGCCCAUCUUCGUCUGUUCGAGCUGUCCGUCGAAGCCAAUCACUCAGUUCGUCUGUUGACUGCUGUGUGGUCUUUGUUCGCCCGUCAGCCGCCGCAUCCCCUUCCUCAACCGUCGUUGAAAGCAGCCAAGCAACUCGAGUUGUCUCCCUUGCUUCACAGCCGCAAGCAAAUCCCAGCUAAGCCCGUCUAUAGCCCUAAGCCGCGCUCGAGCCAUCUUCUUCAUUCCUAAUCGCGCGCCUUCAACAAGUCCAAGCCCAACUGAGCCGAUCUCUUCUUCUAGCCAAGCCUAGUUUUUGCCUUUUUCCAUCUGUUUUGGGUGUUCGGUUAACUUUAUCUAUUAAAGUAGUACCCACAUGGGUGUUCCUCGGGAUCACCACCUUUUCAUGACUGUGUCGUCCGACAGAAUCACCAGUCCAGUAUGAGAUGAUAUGUAUAUGAGUGACUCGACGGGGUCAUUCAUAGCCUGACUGUCUUAGUGUUUCUUUCGAGUUCACUAAAGACCAGUUUGUCCUAGGUGUUUCUUUGGGUUCACUGAAGACCAUAGAUGUUCUUAUGGGAUUCCAGAUUGCGCGUGUUCGAGAACGUGUCAGUUUAGGGGUACCACUUUACAGAACUCUAAUAAGAAGUUAACAGACACUUGGUGGGACUGGUAGUAAGCCCCUAACUGAGUAUAUUUUUAUACUCAUUCUUUAAACGUUUAAUUUUCAGGCAAAGGUAGAGGAAAACUGUUGAAUGACAAGAAGUGACUGUAGCAUGCCAUAGGAAAACAUUUUGCUUCCGUCGUUAUGUUAUUUGUUUUGAUUUCAGUA